rnacentral:rRNA from 1 species
UACGUAGGGAGCGAGCGUUGUCCGGAUUCAUUGGGCGGAAAGAGCUCGUAGGCGGCUUGGCAAGUCGGGUGUGAAAACUCCAGGCUCAACCUGGAGACGCCACCCGAUACUGCCAUGGCUAGAGUCCGGUAGGGGACCACGGAAUUCCUGGUGUAGCGGUGAAAUGCGCAGAUAUCAGGAGGAACACCGGUGGCGAAGGCGGUGGUCUGGGCCGGAACUGACGCUGAGGAGCGAAAGCGUGGGGAGCGAACAGG